UAGCGGAGGGUGCGAGCCGUUGUCCGGAAUCAGCUAGGGGCGUAAAGGGCGCGUAGGGCGGCGGCGGGAAGUCAACGGUGAAAGCUUGGGGCUCAACUCCGAGUCGGCCGUCGAUACUCCCCGUGCUCGAGCACUGUAGAGGCAGAUGGAAUUCCGGGUGUAGCGGUGGAAUGCGUAGAGAUCCGGAAGAACACCGGUGGCGAAGGCGGUCUGCU
rnacentral:rRNA from 1 species